GAUGUCGUUUUUAUGGCGUUAACAUUAACCUAAUCUCUUUGUCGUCGUUUUCAGUCUUCAUCUUCUUGCCUCCUUUCGAAAAUAUCAAAAUGCCUUCUAGGGUUUCGAAUAUCAAAGUGCCUUCUUGGGUUUCGAUUUGUCUGUUCAUCUCGUGUCUUCUACUUCUUCGUCUUCACUCUCUCUUCCUCGCAUCUUAGAGACAGUCAAGUAUGAAACAAGUGUAGAGGAAGCAAGACACUCUCUCUUACUCGCAUCCUUUUACGGUCAAGGGGAGGGGAUGAUGGUUUUGUAGCCGUUCGUUUGUAGUGGAAGAAAGAGGAUCGUGGCUUCUAUCAUCUCAAGGGAUGGACUCUGAAUCUGUGCACACUAUGGCGCUUCUUGAAGCUCAACGUGAAUACAUGGAUAUGAAUGAUGAAGAUGCUGAAUUUGAGGAAGAUGAAGAUGCUGAAUUUGAUGUCGAUGAGGAGUUGGCAGAAGCAGACGUUCAGUGUGAAACACAAGCUACUGCAUCAACACAAGCAGCGAAAUAGACUGAUAGGCUAUGUUUUAAUCAUGGACAGGUCCUGGUGGUUCAAAAAUGAAAAGAGUAACUUAUGGACACUUGCUGUGAAGUAGAACUUUAUAUUUGAGUUAUGUUGUGAUUUGUAAACUUUGAGUUUCAAUUAUGUUUUAUAUGACAG